GCAGUUUGAUGUUGCACAUGAUGAGCUCCUUCCAGUUGACGAAGAUCAUGGCCACUUCCUUCUCCGUCAGCAGCUCGCUCUCCAGCAGAGGUCGUUGACGUAGUUCUCCUCGGUGACAAUCAGCUCGUGGAUGUAUCCCUGCCUCUUCCUCUCCAUGGGACUCAGCAUGUCCAGCAGAUGGAGGCCUACAGCAAACACUUUUGUGUUGGACUACUGCUGGAUUCUUUGUAAAGUAAACCUCAGCUUACUCCAUCCAUGUCGAGACACACCACACUGCAAAGCUGCCUUUAUUUACUCAGAGAAGUCAGACUGUGAAGGUUUGUAUUUCUUUGGCUCAUCAAGUUUACAUUAACAACACGUACAGGUCUGAUUAGAAUGACUUGGUUAAAUAAAAAAAAAGCCAAACACAUUCAUCCACUGGCAAAUGAAUGUACAUGAAGAUGACAUGAGAUGACAGUAAAAAGUUCAAAUGAGUGCUGGCUUAUGAUUGGUGGAGGCACAACACUGGGCAGGGGGCAAGAACUUACCCAUUCCCCCUUCACCUUCAGUUUGCACAGCAGAGGAGAGAGGAAACAGUUAAUACACACACCACACAGUCAUACACACACACACACAUAUACACACACACACACACACUGCACAGAAGACACAAACAGAGAGGACAGAAUCAAAGAGAAAAAGACA